CAGUAGCCGCGGUAAUACAGAGGGUGCGAGCGUUAAUCGGAUUUACUGGGCGUAAAGCGUGCGUAGGCGGCUUUUUAAGUCGGAUGUGAAAUCCCUGAGCUUAACUUAGGAAUUGCAUUCGAUACUGGGAAGCUAGAGUAUGGGAGAGGAUGGUAGAAUUCCAGGUGUAGCGGUGAAAUGCGUAGAGAUCUGGAGGAAUACCGAUGGCGAAGGCAGCCAUCUGGCCUAAUACUGACGCUGAGGUACGAAAGCAUGGGAAGCAAACAGGAUUAGAUACCCGUGUAGUCCCUGUCUCUUAUAC
rnacentral:rRNA from 1 species